AUACCUUGCUCUUUCUUCUACCUAGAAUUUCCCUGCUUAUCUCAUCUAUCCCAGGAUCCCCAAAUUCUAGAUGCUGAAAUGUCUCUAGCUUCUUUUCAGCAUUUAUUCUCUCUUUCCUUUCCUCUUCUGUAUAUUUGGCAUCUGCCAACUCCUUCACCAUUUGUUCAAGCCAAUUGGUUCCUGAAAGGAUAAAGACACCAGCAGGAUAUCCAUUCCACUUCACUUUUUCAUGUAAACCUGGCUGAUGUAAAUCCUGUCAAAUUGGUUUCAAGUGAACCAGUUUGGUUCAGUGUUGUAUUUUAACCUUUCAACAAGUGUGUGCACUGGUAUUCUCUGCAAUCAAUUUUACACAUAGUAGCUGAUAUGGAGCUCUGUGUUGAAUUUGUGCUGACAACAAUGUUGGUAACACAGAGAUAUUUUAGUUAUUGCUAGGCAGUAAUUACAGUGGCAGGGCCUCAAAGCCAUGUCUUAUCUUUGUCUGCAGCAGCCAGUAGCAGGGAAAAAAUAUUUGUCUCAGAAUCUUUAAUCCUGGUCUGGAGGAAAAUGAUGCUGCUCAGUCACUGCAAGAACAUUGUUCAUGCUGAGUUCUGUCAGGUUCCUAAGGCUGCAGAGAUGUCCUUCACUCCCAGUGAGGGCACAGGUGUCCUUUAGACUGGCACACUGACCUCAUAGCAUCAGCUCCUCUCACAAGCCUUUCUGUGCUUGGGUAGGGUGUCCUUGUCAAAGAAUAGCUGAAGGUUAUCUGAGAAGUUUCUUCUGAGCUUCUAUGAAAGCCCCAGAGGCCAACACCCUGAGGAGACAUCAGCGGAGUUCCACAGUCUGAGCAAAGACACAUACCUCCCACAGAAAACUUCUACCUAUCACACAUAGGACACAGCAAAUUGCCUUGAGUUCCCAGCACUGCUCACAUGAAAACUCUCAGAAAUCUGGAACCAGUGCUUCAUUUUUCACUUCAGAGCAGAUUUGAGUGGAGGGAAAAAGUAACCAAGACCAAAGUCCAGGGGAGGAACAUCUACCCAUUACUCUUCCACAUUCAUGCCAGUCAGGUAUCAAUAUUACCCAAAGCUAUGAAGACAGAGGCUGACAUUCUGCCUUUAAGAAGCUAAGUAUACUUUAAACAGAUUGAGCUACUAAUGUGUUAUGAGCUUCUUUCUUAAUAGUAUUUAAUGCAUAUUUAAUUCUGAUUUCAAUUAAGUCAAUACAAAAUUUCAAUAUAUUUGAAGCAUAACUGUAUGAAAGCUUAACUGUGUUAGAAAUCUUUUUGCCAAAAAGUGACCUGAAUUGAUAGUUUUUAGAGAGGUCUCUAAGUGGAAAAUACACUUCACUGCUCUAAAAAGACUGAUGAAUUCAUUAAUAAAAGUGGAAAUAGAAUAUUCCAUUAGGAAGGCAUAAAGUGAAGCAGUGCUGUUAGAUUCUUCUGUAUGUGAUUAAUUAUAAUACUGUUCAAUAAAUUAACACCUCUUCAGUAUGCCAAAGGUCUUACAUUUAGCAUUAACAUCUGAUAUACACUGUAGAUACUAUAAAUGCAGCUGUAGUCCAAAUAGUACUACACUUAUUAGGAACAUUGACUUUCAUCCUGUCUAUCAUGAUGAGAGUUCAAGAAACAAUUGUUUUAACAGCUCUGGUUUAUCUCCCAGGUUUUACAACAGACAUAUUUUAACAUGGAGUGCUUGCUACUAAGUGCCUUUUGUACACUUCCUGUACUUCCAAACUAUGCUUUUCCUCAAAAACCUUCCUCCAGUCAUUAACACCACUUACAAAGAAUCCAUCUUGACACUGUAAGAUUUAAUGCAAAAAGAAAGCUUUAUUCACAUACCUUUAUGUAGGAUAUAGUUAAUAGGAAGGGAAAAGUCUACAACAUACAGUAAUACACAAGAAAAUAAAUUAGACAGCUUUACACCAAAGUUUAUGGUGUAGUUUUUUAAUUUGCCAGUAAGAAUAUCACUGUCCUUUCUCAUUCAUCUCAAAUAAAACAUGAAAUAAAUAUUCAGAGUUGUAAGUGCAACAUCAUAAUUAUAUUAUUAGUAGUAAUUGCUAUUAUUCUGAUUGUUUUUGUUACUGUUGUUUCUAUUAUUGUCACUGUUCUGAUUAUCAGCAUUAUUAUGACAACUCCUUUUGUACAGCAAGCAAACAUAUCUGCUUCAGAAAAGCUUGCUAGGAUAGCAUCAUCUCUUACAGCUUCAGAGGACCUCAUACCUUUGAAUACUUCACAAAUGCAAGGCAUUGUGGCGUAAGCAGUCCCCUCGUAGGUCAGCAGCAAUCAGUGAUUUUUCCAACACACUAGCUAAAAGUGUUUCAGACUGUUCUGUUCCUUUCUCUUCCCUUUUGUUUUGCAAAAUUCCCCACUGACUUUUAACAGUCAUGGGCAGCAGAGGAAGGCACAGGUUACCUAUUUAUUGGUUAUUUCUAGUAGUGAGCGUUUCUUAACUUGAAGGGCCCUUCUCGUGUAAGGGAAAGGGCAGCUCUUCACAGUCCUUCACAGAAAACAAUCCUAAACAAGCUGCAACUGAGUCACUUAAAAACUAUCUCAAUGACACCACUCCACUUAGAAACUCACAGACUCCAGAGGAAAUAUAAAGGAAUCUGUUUUUAAUGACAACUCAAAGGACAGCUAACAUGUAUCAUAUGGUGUUUAUUCCAAUUUCAUCAUUGUUAACAUGGCCUCUGACAGAUGGUCAUUGAACAUGAGAUAAUUAAGGGAAAUUAGGCUUCAUACUUUGGCUGUAAGUGAAUAUGGUAACACAGCUGACUAACCUUAGAAGAAUGUGGGUGUUUUUCAUACACACUGAGGGAGGAGAUUUGGAAUACCCAUAUGUGACUAACAAUGUAUGUAGUAUUGCAUUUUAUUUAAAUUGUAUGCUCUGUCUCACCCCUCCAAAAUGUAUGGUAUAUUCUAAGCCUGUGGUCCUACCCUGAACCAUCCUGUAUCUGUAAUCCCAUUGGCACAAGUCUGAUUCCACACUCACUUUCAAUCUGCCUCUUAAACCGUGCGGGCGAGACCAGCCACCCUCUUAGCCUUUCUCCCCUCCCUUAGCCUUCCUCCCCUCUUGCUCCUUCCCUCCCCUAGGCUCUCCCUUUCCCUCUCCCCCUCCCUCCCCCUUUCCCGCUCAGUAACAAUGCUGCCCCUGGGACCCCAAAUAAACCCUCAUUUAAUCAGCACCCUCAAAAGCUGUGUGGUGUCUCCUUGCCUGCCUGCUGCUGCCAACACUCAGCUUAGGGGGCUUUCUGGAGACUCCCCGGGGAGCCCCCCUUCCCCCAGACAAACUACUACAAAUGUAAGACUCUCCAUUGAUGGUCUUUUCAGUUUACUUCAGCAACACCAGAGUUUUGGCCUAUGCAGAUCAAGAAAUAGAGGGUCCAGAAGAAGGGGCAAGGCAGCAGAAAUACCAGCAUGCUGACAUGGUCCUGAAAAGAGAUUUGAUGACUGAUAGAAUGGACACUCAUUGCGGUGUCACUGAGGGUCAGAUCUCUGGGACAUUGUGAUCAAGGAAGCAGAUUAACAGUCUCUAAGUGCUCCUUGUGCUUUUUCAGACAUCUGCCUUUUCCUAAAAAGUAUGAUUAGCCUGAAUAACUUGGGAGUUGGACUAGAUGAUAAUUAAAGUCCCCUUCCAACCCAAACCAUCCUAUGAACUAGUCAGCAUUUUAUUGCCAUUUUAGGCAAAUAAAAUAUUCCUGGUUGUCAUGGAAAGAUGAUGGCAGGUCCCAUAUGCAAAGAUGGGCAAGUGUAUCAGCAGUACUUUUUUCUCAGAGGUAAACUAAAAUGUUUAUAUUCUGUAAGCAAUGAUCCCUAUGUCAGUGUUUUAAAUGGUGAACUAACAGUCUGAGAUGGUAUUUUAUCACUGGAAGCAUUACAUAAAUGAAGAUCUGACAUGCUAGAAGUCAUAGUUCUUGAUACAUUCUAAAAGUAUGUAACCAGUUCUAGCAAAACCCUACUGCAGGACACUGCCUUUAAAGUUAAGAAGCUUUCAAAGGGCAGCAACAGCCUCAUAGAAGAUACAUUCUCAGAGGGCUGUGAAAUAUAAGAACAUCCAGAUUCAAGAUGUCUUUAGGUGACAGGAAAUGCUAUCAUUAUUUGUUAUCUAAAUUACACAAAUUUAGCAGAAUGGAAACAACAACUACCACCAGCCUGCUGUUGCCUUACUUUCAUGGGCAGCUGAGCUGAAGUCCAUCAUUCGGCUAAGGAGCAGAAAUUUGACCUUGUUACUUGUCAUUCAACACAGGGCCCUGCAUAAAAGCCCAGAUCACUAAAGGAUAUGGGACAAGUAAGGAGCAGAAGAGCUGAAUCCUGGCUCCUGAUAAUGUUGGGCAGAGUUGUAAUUCCAUCAGAAGGAAAAUCUCCACUCACAUGCCUGGUUCUUAGCAACAAAGGGAGAUCUUUGUUCAACAGUUCAGCUGCUGAAAUAGCCAGGUAGCAGCAACAUGGGACUCAGCCUUUUUUAAUGACAGAUAUUUGAGCCAAUUCAAUAGAGGAGAUUUUAGCCGCCUUUGCCCACAUUGUAUCACAGAAACACAACAUGCCUGCAGUUGAAGAAGGCCCAGGAGAUAAUUUAGUCCAACUUCAUUAUCAAAGCAGUUACCUUUGGUGACCUCAGCACGAGGCUGAGCAGGACUGUGCCCAGCUGGCUUUGGAAUCUGACCAAGGACAGAAAGUUCCUAGUUCAGAUCUUGACCAUUUGAUAAAUAUAGAGCAUACUUAAUAUAUAUUAUGAAUGCUACCUUGAUAUUUAUAUAAUCUUACUGCUGUGAAUCACAGCAAAAUUGCUACAUGUUUAUAGGCAAUACAGAAUGCAAACACAUUGUGGAAUAUACACAGUUGAAUGUAAACCUAUUUCAUUUAUGAGAACCUAGUCUGGAAUGUAAAAAAGAACUGGAAUUAAGCUAGUAAUAUGGUUUAGGUGAAUUUGUGUGUAAAGAUAGAGAGGAAAUACUAUUAAUAUAUAACUCUGGAGCUCUGGAGACUUUUGGAGUACUUUCUGAUCAAUUGGUUUUUUUUUAUCAAAAAGGUACUGCUGUACUGCUGACACCUAAAAGGAAAAAUCAGAGUACAGAUGACACAUGACAUGAAUCUUGUGUUCUGAGAGGGCAGAUCUACCUGCUGUCCUUCACAUUGAAGACUGUGAGGUUCGAGAAAGAUUCAGGCACUUUAAUUUUAAAAAGAAGUUGAGAUGGAAUAGGACCAAGAAUACUGCCUGGUCCCAAAGUUAAAAUUCUAAUGAACUUAUUUUUAUGGGAAUGUAAUAAUUUUAUGAGACACUGCUGAUAAAAUUAGGCUUAGAUUCUUUUAGCUUACUGCAUUUACUGGAAACCAGACUAUUUGAAUGAUUUUGUUUGAGCCCAUUAUUGCUCUGAAACUGAUAUUAAGGAAAAACAAAGACAAACAUAACUGAAAAACAUAACUGUUUCAAUGGUAAGGAAAUAAAUUAUUUUAUCUUCUUUGCUUUCUUAAUUUUUAAUAAUUUUUUCCCUGAGUCCACAGAUUUAUACCAUUAUAUUAUUAAAUGGUAAUCCAAUACAAGACCUUAUUUAUAACAUUAUAUUAUUAAAUGGUAAUCCAAUACAAGACCUUCUCCUGACAAAUAUUCUUUAUCUAUAUAUGAAAUAUGAAGAAGGCCAUAAUAACAAGACUACUACCAGUCUUCACUUCAAUUUCAGUAAUAUCAUCACAGUUUACAUCACAGGUCAAAGGGACAUUUUACUGGCAUGUCUGGAAAGUUGUACCUGUGGUAAUUUCUCUUUGCAGAAGGGAGAAUAUUCUCCCAUUUUUUCCAAAAAGCAGGAUUUACUAUUUUCAACAAUGAUUUGAACACACUUCCCUGUUACUAAGAUAUGAAGAAAAUUUUUUUUUUUUUAAUCCCAGAAUCUGGUUAAUCUGGUUUUGAAAAAAAAAUAGGUAAUAUACUGCAAGUUUCUGACAUUGAAGAUAUUUUUUUCUUGGUCUUUGGGCAAGCCUGAUGCCAGAAAUGUGUUUAACAGAGUUAUGGGAAAUUCUCUUAGGUUUUCCAAAACAUUUUCCAGUAGUUUGAAUCUUCUUAUUUGAUAUCCCAGUUCUCAUAACUGUGUAAACAGAUGCUCAAAGAUAUAAACCAGAAUUCGGCUCAGAAGUGUCGAGCUCUCAGUAUUUGUUUGCUACAAUGGAAAUGACAAAGUGCCAGCACAGUUCUCACAAACUUUUUUACAUGUCUUUCAGUAGCUUUCAAAGCUUAUCCCAUUUUACCCCAAACCUCUUCAGGAAAAAAAAAAACAAAAAAAAAAACAAAAAAAACCAAGGCUUCCACCAACAGAGAAAGCACACAGAAGAAAAUAGACCAUCCAUGGAAACUUCAGUCUCCUCUUUCUUCCAAUAAUUAAAUGAAGGCUGCCUUGCUUUUUCCUAAUUUUCUGGUAUGAUCUAAAUUGGAAGUGGGAAAAGGGAGUUUUCUGCAAGUUUCCAUCAUUUUUACUGCACCUUAUUUCAUCCCAUUCCAUGUAAUCCCAGUCUAUGUAUUCACUCCAGUUCCAAAUUUUCUUUUUUUUUUUCACUUUCAUUUCAUUUCCUCAUAUAUCCUUCCCAAUGUGUUUGUUUCACUGUGUUCACUGUUUUCAAGAUUUUAUUUCCUUUCAUGUAAUGGAAUUCUUCAUUUUAGGAAAGGGAAUGGAAUCUCGCAAUUUCCUUGAGUAUCAUUUCUUGAAAUUUUGGGUAAUUUCACUGCACUUCAUUUCAUUCCAUUCCCUUUCAAGAAUUUAACUUGUCCUAAGAAUUUUAUUUCUUGUCAAUUUAAUUUCCUUGUAUUUCCUUUCAUGUCUUUUCAUUUCACUCCAUUCCUUGAUUUUUCAUUGUAUUUCUUUUCAUGGAAAAUUCUUAAUUUCCAUUAAAGAAAAUGAA